UGUACCUCAUAUAGUUGCAACAGAGAUUGCUCAGUGCUGCAUUUCUUGGAAACAUGUGGAAAGCGAAAGUGAAACCUUGUCCAGUUUUAAACAGAUUCUGUGAACUAACGAAGAGAGAACAGAGCGGUUCACGGUCCGGGUGCUGCGAUGGGGAAAACGUAUCAAGUGUUCGUGAGCGGCUCGAAAGGAAAAACAAAUAUUAUUAAUAUUGGAGAAUCUGAAGAUGAUUUCAAAAGGAUGACAGUCCUCAGUUUAAAGAAGAAAUUGAUCGAGAUAUCGCAAAUAGAGGUCGGGGACACAGGUGACCUCCGCCUGCUUUUUUCCAAUGAGCAACUGGAAGACAAGAAAACAUUGGCUGAUUACGGGAUCCAGGACAGAUCCACAAUAAUCGCCGUACUGAGUGUUACAGGAGGAGGGGGAAUGUACAGCGAGUGAGAUUCUCACCCGUGAAACAUUUGUGUGGAAAUGAAGAUUCUAGACAAUAAAUAGUGAUGAUCCAUAUAUCUCUGAUCCGAAAAUGCCGACACAACGAUAAUCUUAACAUUCAUAAAGUGUAUGUUAUCCAAAGUACCUUAGUAUUUCUUUCAAUAUGGGGCUUCAACUUUUCACCUGUUGUUUCUCGAUUGUAAGGCAACAAUGCAGGAACUGCUGGCAUUAACUGCUCCAAUAUAUACCACUAGUCUUGUAAAUGAACGUUUAAUCAUUGUACCCAAGUCCUACUCUAAUUACGAGUUAAUCCACACAUGAGAUUUGAUUUACCAUAGCACUAAAAACAUUCAAGUAAUAGUUGUAAAAUCACAAAUAAUCUCACAUUCAUAAAGGCUAAGUUUCUGCCCACAUAUUUUUCAUGUUAUUUUCAGAAAAUUGUAUCACAUCUUGUUAUAAUUUUACCGUUGGUCAAGUGAAAUAAUAAAAUAAAAGAAAUAUGUGGA